CCAGACUCCUACGGGAGGCAGCAGUGGGGAAUAUUGCACAAUGGGCGCAAGCCUGAUGCAGCGACGCCGCGUGAGGGAUGGAGGCCUUCGGGUUGUGAACCUCUUUCGCCAGUGAAGCAGGCCUGUCCCUUGUGGGUGGGUUGACGGUAGCUGGAUAAGAAGCGCCGGCUAACUACGUGCCAGCAGCCGCGGUAAUACGUAGGGCGCGAGCGUUGUCCGGAAUUAUUGGGCGUAAAGAGCUCGUAGGCGGCUGGUCGCGUCUGUCGUGAAAUCCUCUGGCUUAACUGGGGGCUUGCGGUGGGUACGGGCCGGCUUGAGUGCGGUAGGGGAGACUGGAACUCCUGGUGUAGCGGUGGAAUGCGCAGAUAUCAGGAAGAACACCGGUGGCGAAGGCGGGUCUCUGGGCCGUUACUGACGCUGAGGAGCGAAAGCGUGGGGAGCGAACAGGAUUAGAUACCCUGGUAGUCCACGCCGUAAACGUUGGGCACUAGGUGUGGGGGGCCUUUUCCGGGUUUUCCGCGCCGUAGCUAACGCAUUAAGUGCCCCGCCUGGGGAGUACGGCCGCAAGGCUAAAACUCAAAGGAAUUGACGGGGGCCCGCACAAG
rnacentral:rRNA from 1 species